AGAGUUUGAUCAUGGCUCAGGAUGAACGCUAGCGGCAGGCCUAACACAUGCAAGUCGAACGGCAGCACGACCUUCGGGUUGGUGGCGAGUGGCGCACGGGUGCGUAACGCGUAUAGAACCUACCCUUUACAGGGGGAUAGCCCGGAGAAAUCCGGAUUAAUACCCCGUAGUACUGAGUUCCGGCAUCGGGACUCAGUUAAAGCUGAGGCGGUAAAGGAUGGCUAUGCGUCCUAUUAGUUAGUAGGUGAGGUAACGGCUCACCUAGGCUACGAUAGGUAGGGGCCCUGAGAGGGGGAUCCCCCACACUGGUACUGAGACACGGACCAGACUCCUACGGGAGGCAGCAGUGAGGAAUAUUGGACAAUGGUCGAGAGACUGAUCCAGCCAUGCCGCGUGCAGGAAGACAGCCUUAUGGGUUGUAAACUGCUUUUGUACGGGAAGAAUAAUGCCCACGUGUGGGCAGAUGACGGUACCGUACGAAUAAGGACCGGCUAACUCCGUGCCAGCAGCCGCGGUAAUACGGAGGGUCCAAGCGUUAUCCGGAAUCAUUGGGUUUAAAGGGUCCGCAGGCGGGCCAGUAAGUCAGGGGUGAAAGUUUGCGGCUCAACCGUAAAAUUGCCUUUGAUACUGCUGGUCUUGAGUUACGGUGAAGUGGCUGGAAUAUGUGGUGUAGCGGUGAAAUGCAUAGAUAUCACAUAGAACACCGAUUGCGAAGGCAGGUCACUAACCGCCAACUGACGCUGAUGGACGAAAGCGUGGGGAGCGAACGGGAUUAGAUACCCCGGUAGUCCACGCCGUAAACGAUGGACACUAGCUGUCGGGCUUUAGGGCUCGGCGGCCAAGCGAAAGUGAUAAGUGUCCCACCUGGGGAGUACGUUCGCAAGAAUGAAACUCAAAUGAAUUGACGG
rnacentral:rRNA from 1 species